rnacentral:rRNA from 1 species
UACGUAGGGGGCAAGCGUUGUCCGGAUUUAUUGGGCGUAAAGAGCGUGUAGGCGGCCUGAAAGGUCAGCUGUGAAAACUUGAGGCUCAACCUCGAGACGUCGGUUGAAACCAUCUGGCUAGAGUCCGGAAGAGGAGAGUGGAAUUCCCGGUGUAGCGGUGAAAUGCGCAGAUAUCGGGAAGAACACCCGUGGCGAAGGCGGCUCUCUGGGACGGUACUGACGCUGAGACGCGAAAGCGUGGGGAGCGAACAGG